CAGUAUUCAGACCCCUUGACUUUUUCCAAAUUCGUGAGCUGUUUCAGGAAACUAGACAUAUGUCGUGGGUCACUACUUCACAGGAGAGCCAUUUGAACGUAAACUUUUGUUUAAAUGUGUUUUUUUGUUGUUGCCCCUACUGAACUAGCAAGCAAAGACAUCAGGCUGCAUUACAGCUUUGAUUUUGGCUCAACAAGUAAGCAACAUCUCCUCCUUUAUAGUGAUUAGAUAGAUAGAUAGAUAGAUAGAUAGAUAGAUAGAUAGAUAGAUAGAUAGAUAGAUAGAUAGAUAGAUAGAUAGAUAGAUAGAUAGAUAGAUAGAUAGAUAGAUAGAUAGAUAGAUAGAUAGAUAGAUAGAAAAAAAUAUAUAUAAUAUAUAAGGCAUGCAAUUGCCUUUCACUGAGCUGUGUAAAGACAGACUGACAGGGGUGAGACAUUUUAAUUUAUCUUAAUGUUCUUUUUGUUGUUCGCAGAUGUACUAUCCUUCUGACCAUAUGCAGCCAGGUCCCAUCUACUUUUUAACUCCUCACAUGUGUGGCUUGUUUGGUGUCUGCUGUGAAGGAAUACCACAACAAGUCAACUACUUGAUUGAUGAAGGUCAUAGAUAUAAAUGAGAACUUGUUCUCAACUGGCUUACCUGUUUAAAUAAAGGCGAAAUAAAGUAAAAAAAUAAAAAAUAUAUGGCUGGAAACAACACCUGAUUCAGUACUUCAGGCUGCUGCCACACUACCAGCACUUCAGCCUGUUGUUGUUGUUGCCAAGGAGCGUUCGGACUCAGUCGGGACCAGGUUUCAGCUGCUGCGCAUCGCUGACAUCCUUCCUCCCAUAGAUGGUCUGCCUGGACAAGCACCACCUGGACUGGACACAGCUAGACAAACUUAUGUUUUUGAGAAGAUCAAGGGGUUUUGCGACGAAGAGGCUAUGAACAUCACAUGCCCUGCACCAAAGUCAAGGGCAGGACAGAAACAGGCUCUCCUAAUAUAGAUUCCCUUGUUCAUGCGUGUUUCAGACAAACCAGUCAUCAGCACUAUCUGCAGUGCCUCUAUUCAAAUGACUCUCUGCUAACACACACGCCAUACAUUGCUGUUACUAUUUAUUUGUUUAUCCUGCUGCUCAGCCACUUUACCCCUGAUUGUAUGCAUAUAACUACCUCAUCUAUCACUGAUCACUUAUUGACAUCGUUCUUGUACAUACUGGAUAUUAUAUAUAUAUCUAUUUCUGAUAUUGCUACUAUGCAAGUAACUAUUUCGCUGUAGCGUUUACACCUUCUGUCGAGACCCAUCCACUUAGCAAGAUGUGGCUGGGGGUUAUGGCAUUUCUUUCACAUGACCCAUCAAUUUAGUGUGUCUGGGUAAACGUCAUCUAAUAUUGAUCAAAUAUUUUAAUCUGGACACUUUCUCUUUACCUGGAAUUGUUCCUUAUUGUAGGCUACUACUUUUAUCACUUUUAGUCUUAAUCUUUACUACACAACUCACUGUUUCGUACAUGACCUUAUAUGUGAAUCCUUAAAGAGAUGGGUGGUGGGUGUGGACAAAGGAGAGCCCUCCAGUAGUAGUACCAUUCAAAGGAGAGCCCUCCAGCAGAAGUACCAUUCAAAGGAGAGCCCUCCAGUAGUAGUACCAUUCAAAGGAGAGCCCUCCAGUAGUAGUACCAUUCAAAGGAGAGCCCUCCAGUUGUAGUACCAUUCAAAGGAGAGCCCUCCGGUAGUAGUACCAUUCAAAGGAGAGCCCUCCAGUAGUAGUACCAUUCAAAGGAGAGCCCUCCAGUAGUAGUACCAUUCAAAGGAGAGCCCUCCAGUAGUAGUACCAUUCAAAGGAGAGCCCUCCAGUUGUAGUACCAUUCAAAGGAGAGCCCUCCAGUAGUAGUACCAUUCAAAGGAGAGCCCUCCAGAAGUAGUACCAUUCAAAGGAGAACCCUCCAGUAGUAGUACCAUUCAAAGGAGAACCCUCCAGUAGUAGUACCAAAACAUUCAAAGGCCAUUUUGUCAAAAUUGAGUUUACAAGUUUAUCAACUUUCAAUGCAGAAUUACUUUUCCAUUUUCCUCAAAAAUGUAGUGUAUGAUAUACCACUUUGUAGCUCUGUGUCUCUGCUUUCAUCCAAUGUAAAAAACAGAAUUUCAUAUUUUGCUACAUAAGACUGAAUAAAGGCUGUCGGUCACAUUUCGCUACAUUACAGACUCUUUCUAAAAUUGAUUAAAUGAAUAAAUAUCCUAAGCAAGCUUCACACAAUACCUCAUAAUGACAAAGAGAACACCGGUUUUUGGAAAUGUUUGGAAAUUUAGCACAAAAAAAAAACUGAAAUACCUUAUUUACAAAAGCAUUCAGACCCUUUGCUAUGAAACUCGAAAUUGAGUUCAGGUGCAUCCUGUUUCCCUUGAUCACCCUUGAGAUGUUUCUACAGCUUGAUUGGAGUCCAGCUAUGGUAAAUUCAAUUAAUUGGACAUGAUUUGGAAAGGCACACAACUGUCUAUAAAAGGUCCCACAGUUGACAAUCAAUAUCAGAGCAAAAACCAAAGCCAUGAGGUCGAAGGAAUUGUCUGUAGAGCUCCGAGACAGGAUUGUGUCGAGGCACAGAUCUUGGAAAGGGCACGAAAACAUUUAUACAGCAUUGAAGGUCCCCAAUAACACAUGCCCUCCAUCAUUCUUAAAUGGAAUAGAUCUGGAACCACAGA
ensembl:lncRNA